rnacentral:rRNA from 1 species
UACGUAGGGGGCAAGCGUUGUCCGGAAUCAUUGGGCGUAAAGAGCGUGUAGGCGGCUUGGUAAGUCCGCUGUGAAAGUCCAGGGCUCAACCCUGGAAUGCCGGUGGAAACUGUCAAGCUUGAGUCCGGAAGAGGCGAGUGGAAUUCCUGGUGUAGCGGUGAAAUGCGCAGAUAUCAGGAGGAACACCAAUGGCGAAGGCAGCUCGCUGGGACGGUAACUGACGCUGAGACGCGAAAGCGUGGGGAGCAAACAGG